AGUAUUUUGACUAUACAAAGGUAUUGAAAUAAGAUUUUAAUUGAAUGCUAAAAGAAAGAAUAAACAAAAAAAUUCUUUUUUAAUUUUAAAAAUUAAAGUUAAUUUUAUUUGUGCAGAAGCAAUAAUAAAAUUUAAAGACAAGAAGACCCUAAGAAUUUUAAAUUAAUUAUUUAUAUAAAAUAAAUAAAAUUAUAAAUAUAAUUAAUUUAAUUGGGGCGAUUAAUAAAUAUAACUAACUUUAUUUAAACAUAAAAGGAUCCACUAAUAAUGAUUAUAUGAUAAAAUACUCUAGGGAUAACAGCGUAAUAAUUUUUGAUAGUUCUUAUAGACAAAAUAGUUUGCGACCUCGAUGUUGGAUUGGGAUUCUUAUUUAAGGAGAAGUUAAAAUAGGAAGUUUGUUCAACUUUUAAAAUCCC
rnacentral:rRNA from 1 species